rnacentral:ribozyme from 1 species
CACACACACACACAAUAAAACCGUCCCCAUCCAAACAAAAUUCAACCAAAAAAAAGAAAGAAAAAACAAGAGGAUUUUCCUUCAGACGUAUUUUUGUUUCUUGCCGCGUUCGUUUCUUUUUCUUCUUACUGUUAUUAUAUCAUUAUUCUUUUCUUU